CGGCUUUCCUAUUUUGUUGGUUUCUAGGGGAGCCGUAAUGAUUAAUAGGGAUAGUCGGGGGCAUCAGUAUUCAAUUGUCAGAGGUGAAAUUCUUGGAUUUAUUGAAGACUAACUACUGCGAAAGCAUUUGCCAAGGAUGUUUUCAUUAAUCAGUGAACGAAAGUUAGGGGAUCGAAGACGAUCAGAUACCGUCGUAGUCUUAACCAUAAACUAUGCCGACUAGGGAUCGGGCGAUGUUACUAUCUUGACUCGCUCGGCACCUUACGAGAAAUCAAAGUUUUUGGGUUCUGGGGGGAGUAUGGUCGCAAGGCUGAAACUUAAAUUUUUAUUGACGGAAGGGCACCACCAGGCGUGGAACCUGCGGCUUAAUUUGACUCAACACGGGGAAACUCACCAGGUCCAGAUACAAGUAGGAUUGACAGAUURAGAGCUCUUUCUUGAUUUGUAGUUGGUGGUGCAUGGCCGUUCUUAGUUGGUGGAGUGAUUUGUCUGCUUAAUUGCGAUAACGAACGAGACCUUAACCUGCUAAAUAGCCCGGCUCGCUUUGGCGGGUCGCUGGCUUCUUAGAGGGACUAUCGGCUCGAGCCGAUGGAAGUUUGAGGCAAUAACAGGUCUGUGAUGCCCUUAGAUGUUCUGGGCUGCACGCGCGUUACACUGACAGAGGCAACGAGUUUUUUUCCUUGGCCGGAAGGCCUGGGUAAUCUUGUUAAACUCUGUCGUGC
rnacentral:rRNA from 1 species